GCGUGCCGGAUGAAGGCCCUAUGGGUUGUAAACGGCUUUUACUAGGGAAGAACGAGAGGGUUUCGAUCUUCUGUGACGGUACCUAGUGAAUAAGCACCGGCUAACUCCGUGCCAGCAGCCGCGGUAAUACGGAGGGGGCUAGCGUUGUUCGGAAUUACUGGGCGUAAAGGGCGUGUAGGCGGCGAUUUUAGUCAGGCGUGAAAGCCCGGGGCUCAACCUCGGAAUAGCGCUUGAUACUGGAUCGCUUGAGACCGGAAGAGGGUAGUGGAAUUCCCAGUGUAGAGGUGAAAUUCGUAGAUAUUGGGAAGAACACCAGUGGCGAAGGCGGCUACCUGGUCCGGAUCUGACGCUGAGGCGCGAAAGCGUGGGGAGCAAACAGGAUUAGAUACCCUGGUAGUCCACGCCGUAAACGAUGAGAACUAGCCGUUGGACAUCUUGCAUGUUUAGUGGCGCAGCUAACGCGAUAAGUUCUCCGCCUGGGGAGUACGGCCGCAAGGUUAAAACUCAAAUGAAUUGACGGGGGCCCGCACAAGCGGUGGAGCAUGUGGUUUAAUUCGACGCAACGCGAAGAACCUUACCUACACUUGACAUCCUCGGAACUUUCUAGAGAUAGAUUGGUGCCUUCGGGAACCGAGUGACAGGUGCUGCAUGGCUGUCGUCAGCUCGUGUCGUGAGAUGUUGCGUUAAGUCGCGCAACGAGCGCAACCCCUGUCCUUAGUUGCCAUCAUUUAGUUGGGCACUCUAGGGAGACAAACCCUCUCUGAGGGUGGGAAGGUGGGGACGACGUCAAGUCAGGAUGGCCCUUACGGUUUGGGCUGCACACGUGCUACAAUGCCUGGUACAGAGGGAAGCAAUACCGCGAGGUGGAGCAAAUCCUCAAAACCAGGCCCAGUUCGGAUUGUAGUCUGCAACUCGACUACAUGAAGUUGGAAUCGCUAGUAAUGGCGCAUCAGCUACGGCGCCGUGAAUACGUUCCCGGGCCUUGUACACACCGCCCGUCACACCAUGGGAGUGGGUUGCACCAGAAGUGGCUAGUCUAACUUAGGAGGACGGUCACCACGGUGUGAUUCAUGACUGGGGUGAAGUCGUAACAAGGUAACCGUAG
rnacentral:rRNA from 1 species